UACGUAGGGGGCUAGCGUUAUCCGGAAUUACUGGGCGUAAAGGGUGCGUAGGUGGUUUCUUAAGUCAGAGGUGAAAGGCUACGGCUCAACCGUAGUAGGCCUUUGAAACUGGGAAACUUGAGUGCAGGAGAGGAGAGUGGAAUUCCUAGUGUAGCGGUGAAAUGCGUAGAUAUUAGGAGGAACACCAGUUGCGAAGGCGGCUCUCUGGACUGUAACUGACACUGAGGCACGAAAGCGUGGGGAGCAAACAGGAUUAGAUACCCUGGUAGUCCCUGA
rnacentral:rRNA from 1 species